rnacentral:tRNA from 1 species
GCCAGUGUGGUGUAGUGGUUUGAGCAUUGGACUGUGACUCUGGAGGCUAGGGUUCAAAUCCCCACUCUGCCA